ensembl:snRNA LOC120094530 U2 spliceosomal RNA
AUAUUAAAAAAAGAUGGUUGGAUUUUUGGAACUAGGAGUUGGAAUAGGAGCUUGCUCCGUCCACUCCACGCAUCGACCUGGUAUUGCAGUACCUCCAGGAACGGUGCACCCCCU